CAGGGAUUGCCCUAGUAACGGCGAGUGAAGCGGCAACAGCUCAAAUUUGAAAUCUGGCCUUCGGGUCCGAGUUGUAAUUUGUAGAGGAUGCUUUUGGUGAGGUGCCUUCCGAGUUCCCUGGAACGGGACGCCAUAGAGGGUGAGAGCCCCGUCUGGUUGGACACCGAUCCUCUGUAAAGCUCCUUCGACGAGUCGAGUAGUUUGGGAAUGCUGCUCUAAAUGGGAGGUAUAUGUCUUCUAAAGCUAAAUAUUGGCCAGAGACCGAUAGCGCACAAGUAGAGUGAUCGAAAGAUGAAAAGCACUUUGAAAAGAGAGUUAAAAAGUACGUGAAAUUGUUGAAAGGGAAGCGCUCAUGACCAGACUUGGGCUUGGUUGAUCAUCCAGGGUUCUCCCUGGUGCACUCUUCCAGUUCAGGCCAGCAUCAGUUCGCUGUGGGGGAUAAAGGCUUUGGGAAUGUGGCUCCCUCGGGAGUGUUAUAGCCCAUUGUGUAAUACCCUGUGGUGGACUGAGGUUCGCGCAUUCGCAAGGAUGCUGGCGUAAUGGUCAUCAGCGACCCGUCUUGAAACACGGACCAAGGAGUCGUCUUCGUAUGCGAGUGUUCGGGUGUUAAACCCCUACGCGUAAUGAAAGUGAACGCAGGUGAGAGCUUCGGCGCAUCAUCGACCGAUCCUGAUGUUCUCGGAUGGAUUUGAGUAAGAGCAUACGGGGCCGGACCCGAAAGAAGGUGAACUAUGCCUGUAUAGGGUGAAGCCAGAGGAAACUCUGGUGGAGGCUCGCAGCGGUUCUGACGUGCAAAUCGAUCGUCAAAUAUGGGCAUGGGGGCGAAAGACUAAUCGAACCUUCUAGUAGCUGGUUUCCGC
rnacentral:rRNA from 1 species